ACACGUAGGGGGCGAGCGUUAUCCGGAUUCAUUGGGCGUAAAGCGCGCGCAGGCGGCGCGCCAAGCGGGACCUCUAAUCUGGGGGCUCAACCCCCAGCCGGGUCCCGAACUGGCGCGCUCGUGUCCGGUAGGGGAGGUCGGAAUUCCCGGUGUAGCGGUGGAAUGCGCAGAUAUCGGGAGGAACACCGAUGGCGAAGGCAGCCCUCUGGGCCGCGACAGACGCUGAGGCGCGAAAGCUAGGGGAGCGAACAGGAUUAGAUACCCUGGUAGUCCUAGCCGUAAACGAUGAUAGCUAGGUGUGGGGGGACCGCCCCUCCGUGCCGCAGCCAACGCAUUAAGCUAUCCGCCUGGGGAGUACGGCCGCAAGGCUAAAACUCAAAGGAAUUGACGGGG
rnacentral:rRNA from 1 species